rnacentral:lncRNA from 1 species
AUGGAGCUGAGCCUUCUCCUCACCUUACCAGGUGGCUGCCACCCUUACCCUACCCUUCGAUGUCGUGAAGACACAGCGACAAAUGUCACUGGGAGCAGUGGAGGCUAUGAGAGGUGAGCUGGGGUUAGUGAGGGUGUCGGUCAGGCCGGGGCCCGGAACUGAGUCCUACUGAGCCGGGCCUUGCAUCUGCAGUGAAGCCGCCAAGAGUUGACUCCACCUGGCUCCUGCUUCGGAGAAUCCAGGCUGAAUCUGGCACCAGGGGACUCUUUGCAGGUUUCCUCCCCAGGAUCAUCAAGGCUGCGCCCUCCUGCGCCAUCAUGAUCAGCACUUACGAGUUUGGCAAAAGCUUCUUCCACAGGCUCAACCAGGAGCAGCCUCUGGGCCACUGAAGGUUGAGGAGCAACUGGCUC